AUGGGUGACGAAGGGGAUGGAGUUCAUCCAUGGCUGCUGGAGAGAGAAGGGGAUGGAGUUCAUCCAUGGCCGCCGAGGAGAGAAGGGGAAGGAGUUCAUCCAUGGCCACUGAGGAGAGAAGGGGAUAGGAGAGAGGAGGGGAAGGGGAUGGAGUUCAUCCAUUGGUUUUUUUGGUGGCUCUGCAGCUGCUCGCAGCAGCGUGCUCGGAGCUGUUCCGCGACAACAAACUCACAGCCGGUGGAGCGGGCAAGGACAUGGCUGCCGCGGGGAAGAGAGACAGAGAGGAGAGGCAAGAUUGGGGAGGGAGAGAAACAGAGGAGGGAGAAGAUAGAUGAGUGUGUGGAUGGAUAA
rnacentral:rRNA from 1 species